GCCCGACUUGAACGGAGCUCAUUUUUUGUGACUGAAAAAGCGGUGGCAAAAAUAGCGGGAGUGGAAGGCGGAAAUAGCU
rnacentral:misc_RNA from 1 species